rnacentral:lncRNA from 1 species
AGUAUCUCAAAUGAGUUCAAAAAGAAAACUCCAAGGUGAAAACGUAGGUAUUGCUCUGUGUUUUUAUAUUAAUAUACCAAAUCUUGUGUUGAUACUUUUUCUCUUUUUGAGAGUAUCUUGUGUUGUUUUACUUAUUUAAUAUUUAAUAUCAUAGUCAAAGGAUCUCGUAUUUUUAUUUUGAAUUAUGAGUCAUACAAAUUAUUUUUUCUAAUAUUCAAGUAAUUAGAUCGCCAUUUCUAGGCUCGAAGGAGCGGCGGCUUCUAAAAAUCAGAACGAUCUCGUUCGGCGGCAACCUUGGUCUAGGCUAGUCUAUUGACAAUGCCAAAGUCUCAUUGCUUUGCUGCCGGACGAGAUCUCAAAUCGGGUCGUAAUCGAGUCUUAGAGUUGGACUGUGCUCAAGGCUCUAAUGGUUGGGUUUCUUUUCUGGCUUCUCUCUUUGGUGGUAGUUGGGAGCUUCUAACCAAACGUCGCGACCCCAGAAUCGGAGUUUGGCCAGAUGGGUGACGCUCGGCUUUGUUCCAGCGGCGAGGUUUGUGCUAAUCUGGAUCCACUUGGUUGGGUUUCGUUCAAAGCUGUAUGGGUCUAGAUGUGGGAUGUGUGGCGUGAAGGUUAUGGGGUCGGUGCGGCGGUGGUCCUGGUUGAUCUGAAACUGCAGUGGUGAAGAUUAGGUAGCAUGGGUCCGACGGCGAGUUUGGUUUGGUGGCGUACGACAUGUAGACUAGAGAGGAUGGGCUGCGACUGGGCUAACCAGUUUGGGCAUGCGUGUGACUUGCUCUUGGACUCUCUUUUGGCUCUCCAAGUUUUGGGCUAGGGUUUGCUAUAGGCCUAUUUCUAAGUAUUUAGUUUUAUCUAUUCACGUUAAAUAAAUCUUUGUUUUAGGAACUUAAACACUUAUGUGCCUAAUUGUUAUGCUUUGUAUCAUAGCUUGAUUAGGUUUACUUUUUUGUUUUAGAAAUAAGUGAUCACUGAAUGUAUAAUGACCGGUGCUAGCAUGUCAAGUCCUUAACAUGCCCAUGGUACUGCAGAAGAAUGUAUAUAUCUGUGUCAUUCUGACUUGAGUUAAAUGAAAUAGUCUCUUUAGCUUUCCAUCAAUUUAUUUAUUUAUUUUGAACAUGAAGUGAAGGAUUCCUUUGUGUCAAUAAAAAUAGAGUUUUUUUUGUUUUGAUGAAAUGGAC